AUUGAACGCUGGCGGCAGGCCUAACACAUGCAAGUCGAACGAGUGGCGGACGGGUGAGUAAUGUCUGGGAAACUGCCCGAUGGAGGUGGAUAACUACUGGAAACGGUAGCUAAUACCGCAUACCAUCGGAUGUGCCCAGAUGGGAUUAGCUAGUAGGUGGGGUAACGGCUCACCUAGGCGACGAUCCCUAGCUGGUCUGAGAGGAUGAACAGCCCCACUGGAAGUGAGACACGGUCCAGACUCAUACGGGAGGCAGCAGUGGGGAAUAGUGCACAAUGGACGCAAGCCUGAUGCAGCCAUGCCGCGUGUAUGAAGAAGGGCUGCGGGUUGUAAAGUACUUUCAGCGAGGAGGCGUUACUCGCAGAAGAAGCACCGGCUAACUCCGUGCCAGCAGCCGCGGUAAUAC
rnacentral:rRNA from 1 species